UACGAAGGGGGCUAGCGUUGUUCGGAUUUACUGGGCGUAAAGCGCACGUAGGCGGAUUGUUAAGUGAGGGGUGAAAUCCCAGGGCUCAACCCUGGAACUGCCUUUCAUACUGGCAAUCUUGAGUCCGGAAGAGGUGAGUGGAACUCCUAGUGUAGAGGUGGAAUUCGUAGAUAUUAGGAAGAACACCAGUGGCGAAGGCGGCUCACUGGCCCGGUACUGACGCUGAGGUGCGAAAGCGUGGGGAGCAAACAGG
rnacentral:rRNA from 1 species